AUGCUAUUUUUGAUGCUGGGGCUGUUUCAGCUCCUCCCAGUGCAAGUAUCUGCUUCUAAAGAUCAGGCUGCCCCCUUAAAUCCUUAUGUUUUAUCCCUUCUUGCUCAGUCUCCUGUCCUGACUCCUGCUACAGAUGCCAGAAUCCCAAACAGGACUUCUCCAUUGGAGGUCCUCAGUGACACAGAAGAGGAGAAACUCCAGACCCAUACAUGUAUCAGAAUCCAGGCUGGAAGCCAGGAUUUUGGGGGUUGUCCCCCUCUUGUGGACAAUGUAGUGAGAGCAGCAGCAACAGGAAUUAGAAGACAACAGCAAAAUACAUGAUUUCCUCCAGCAAUCUCCUAAAAGCUGACUUUGAAGAUGUCUCUGUUUCUCAUGCACCACCGUGAGUCACAGCUGUGAAAGCUUUCUUUCUCCAUUUUUUUUUAAUAGAAUGAAUGCAGUUCUGGUGUUUCUCUGCAGUACAUAAGGAAUUCUGAGAAGCAAAAAGAUAUCACAAGUUGAAAGGGUUCAAUCCCUUGCUAGGAGAUAGAGAAUGCAAAAUUUGGAGAUGUAGUUUUUGAUGCAUUGCCACAUGCAUGGCUAUUAGGCCAAUGGAAGAAGCAGCUGGAUAUUUAGAAACAUAGAGCCAGACACRGACUCUGGGAACUGUGUUUGUUGUGGCUGUCUGCAUCCAAAGAUUUCCUGAAGAGCUACUUUGGGAAAUGGGCCUGAUUCAGGUGCCAUGCAACACAACUGUCUACGUCUGUUACUAAAGAGAACAAUAGUUCUCCUUUAUUUCAAAAAAACAUGUUAGGCUGGAAGGAGUUGUGAAGGAGAUGAUAGUAAAAAAAAAAAAAAAAGGAGACAGACUUCGAAAGCAGUUCUGAAGUCCUAGAAGAGAGAGCUGACAGCUAAAGACUGCCAACCUCAAGCCUUGAUCUCAGAGUGGAAUCAUAAUCAG
rnacentral:lncRNA from 1 species